GGCCAAACUUCCUCAUUCAUCCCAAUACCAAAAUAUUUAGCCCAUUGUGUUUAAAAGGCUCAAAGUGAAAAUAUUAAAGAAAUACGUGACAAAAGUUGAGAAAAAUAUAAUGUAAAUUACAAUAUAAAGAAAUAAACCUGUCCCUUGGUCGGACCAUUGAAUCUUGCUUAGUUUUGGUUUUGAUUUCUCCAAGAUUUUCCUCCUCUUUGUGUGAUAUUUCCCCUCUUUUUUUGCUUGUCCCCUUUUUCUCCCUAUGCUAGGGUUUUGAAAUGGAUGAAGAAUGGGAAAAAAAUGGUUCAAUUUGCCCUUUAAAUGGCUCAAAAAUCGUGUUUUGUUAAUUGCAAAAUGGUCCUCAAUUAAUUAAAAAAAAAAGCCAAAUGGACCCUAGCCAUGGCUACGGCGUUGCGACGCCUUGUACGUGGCGCUGCAGCGCUACAGUGCUAUCAAAUGGACAAAACCACGACGCCACUUCCCUAUUUUGCUCUUAUUGAAGCUCUAGUCCUUUGGUAAUUGCGCAUUCAAUCCCUCAACUUUCAUAUUGUACAUUUUAGUCCUCAAAUUUUGACUUUUCUUUUAACCAUGCCCAUAUAAAAUAUUGCAACCUAGGUCCCUAAACUUUCAGUACUUUUGCACUUUUGGUCCUCUCUUCCUUUAGCCGUUUUCUCCUCCAAUUUGGGAUUUUGGCCUACAAACACCACAAUUACACAUUUAUGAAUAAAAAUUCGCUCAAUUUCAUCAAUAAAUAGCUCAUUAAAAUGCCUAUAAAGUGUGUAAAAAUAUACUUAUAAAAAACAACCCAAAUAUCUCUUCAGCCACCACAUCUAUACUAGUAUGAGAAUUUACAGUCAGCUCUUCCAGGUUCACAAGCAAGGAAUUCCCAUUCCAAUGUUGAAAUCAGGAUGCUAAUAGGUAAAAAUUAGUGUGCAAAAGGUUUAAGAAGUGAGCAUCGCGAACAGGCCAGAGAUGCAUGUAUUUGGUAUAAAUAUGAGGUAGGACAAUGUAAGAUCAACCUUAUACUAAGGUAGAGUCCCAAAUGGUUUGGGAUUUCAAAAGAAGAUUCUCAUGGAGUAUUGUAGAACUAAAUUGACACCUUAAUAAUCAC
rnacentral:lncRNA from 1 species